rnacentral:rRNA from 1 species
AGAGUUUGAUCAUGGCUCAGAUUGAACGCUGGCGGCAGGCCUAACACAUGCAAGUCGAACGGUAACAGGAAGCAGCUUGCUGCUUCGCUGACGAGUGGCGGACGGGUGAGUAAUGUCUGGGAAGCUGCCUGAUGGAGGGGGAUAACUACUGGAAACGGUAGCUAAUACCGCAUAAUGUCGCAAGACCAAAGAGGGGGACCUUCGGGCCUCUUGCCAUCGGAUGUGCCCAGAUGGGAUUAGCUUGUUGGUGGGGUAACGGCUCACCAAGGCGACGAUCCCUAGCUGGUCUGAGAGGAUGACCAGCCACACUGGAACUGAGACACGGUCCAGACUCCUACGGGAGGCAGCAGUGGGGAAUAUUGCACAAUGGGCGCAAGCCUGAUGCAGCCAUGCCGCGUGUAUGAAGAAGGCCUUCGGGUUGUAAAGUACUUUCAGCGGGGAGGAAGGGAGUAAAGUUAAUACCUUUGCUCAUUGACGUUACCUGCAGAAGAAGCACCGGCUAACUCCGUGCCAGCAGCCGCGGUAAUACGGAGGGUGCAAGCGUUAAUCGGAAUUACUGGGCGUAAAGCGCACGCAGGCGGUUUGUUAAGUCAGAUGUGAAAUCCCCGGGCUCAACCUGGGAACUGCAUCUGAUACUGGCAAGCUUGAGUCUCGUAGAGGGGGGUAGAAUUCCAGGUGUAGCGGUGAAAUGCGUAGAGAUCUGGAGGAAUACCGGUGGCGAAGGCGGCCCCCUGGACGAAGACUGACGCUCAGGUGCGAAAGCGUGGGGAGCAAACAGGAUUAGAUACCCUGGUAGUCCACGCCGUAAACGAUGUCGACUUGGAGGUUGUGCCCUUGAGGCGUGGCUUCCGGAGCUAACGCGUUAAGUCGACCGCCUGGGGAGUACGGCCGCAAGGUUAAAACUCAAAUGAAUUGACGGGGGCCCGCACAAGCGGUGGAGCAUGUGGUUUAAUUCGAUGCAACGCGAAGAACCUUACCUGGUCUUGACAUCCACGGAAGUUUUCAGAGAUGAGAAUGUGCCUUCGGGAACCGUGAGACAGGUGCUGCAUGGCUGUCGUCAGCUCGUGUUGUGAAAUGUUGGGUUAAGUCCCGCAACGAGCGCAACCCUUAUCCUUUGUUGCCAGCGGUCCGGCCGGGAACUCAAAGGAGACUGCCAGUGAUAAACUGGAGGAAGGUGGGGAUGACGUCAAGUCAUCAUGGCCCUUACGACCAGGGCUACACACGUGCUACAAUGGCGCAUACAAAGAGAAGCGACCUCGCGAGAGCAAGCGGACCUCAUAAAGUGCGUCGUAGUCCGGAUUGGAGUCUGCAACUCGACUCCAUGAAGUCGGAAUCGCUAGUAAUCGUGGAUCAGAAUGCCACGGUGAAUACGUUCCCGGGCCUUGUACACACCGCCCGUCACACCAUGGGAGUGGGUUGCAAAAGAAGUAGGUAGCUUAACCUUCGGGAGGGCGCUUACCACUUUGUGAUUCAUGACUGGGGUGAAGUCGUAACAAGGUAACCGUAGGGGAACCUGCGGUUG